UUAAGAAAAAAAAAAUCUAAAAUAGCGAAUUUACAUUCAUUUUCCUUCUUUAAGUAUCAUACGCCUACUUGGUACUACUCAUGUAACUCUAGAAUAUAUAGUAAACCCAAAAUUAUAAUACCAAAAAAAUAUGCAAAACAAACAAAGAAAGAAGACAACCUUAUUUUCUUAUAUCAUCAUACCUACUCAGCCUUGUUUUCUUAUAUCAUCAAACCUACUUAGCUAAAAAAUGAUUGUGUUUUUUUUUUACACAGGAUAUGUUAAAAACUCUAAAUGUACUAAAUGCUUGAUCUUUCAAAAAUUCAAAUUCAUAAGAAAAUAUAUUUGAAUCAAUUAAUUCUGAUAAAUCUCAAAAUUUCUUUUACUUGUUUGGAUUUAUCAAAAUUUAUGUAUAAAAUGAUGUGGCACUUGUAGCAAGUACUUUUAUAUUCAGGCUGAAGAAGCGAUAUAAACUGUUAGGUUGUUCCUUAUUUGGUCUUUUCUAAUGCCUAAUGCAGUAGCACACAUGGCAAAUUGGCAAUGCAUGACGUUAGUAUUAGGAAAUAGGAGGUGAUCUUCUACCACUAAUGUGAGAUUUAAUGCAAGUAAGACUGUUUGUUUAAGAAUAUACUAUAUAAUAUAAAAUGCAGUGUGCUAGCUACCAGUAGUACAGCUGCUGUUGUCUUUUUAUAUUUUAGAGUUUAUGUAUGCAUGACCAGUAUGCAUGGAGUCAUAAAAAUUCAUACACGAGAUGGUUGGGAAACUUGGCGAUGAUUUUUACCUUUAAGGGUUUGAUAAAGAGGUAUGAUUGUUUGAUAUUGAUACAUUACUUGUUGGUGGAGUUCCCAUUGCUGGUAACUAUUACAUUCUGGGUGUGCUGAAUGAUUAUGCUUGGUGGUAGGGUGCUAGAGGAGGUGGCUUGGUGGUAGGGUGGUAGACUAGGUGGAUGUGGAGGUCCACCGUACAACGGUGCCGACAUCCAUGGCCUGCAUCUAGAUAAUUUCAAUCGCUACAUUGUGAGAUUUAAGGGAGUUACCAAAGACAUGAUUGUUCGGCAGAUGUUUUGUAUUAUGUCUAAUCCUAAUGAUUUUGAUCUGCUUCCCGAUAAUGAUAGCCUCAGUGUGUUUGUCAGGAAUUAUCCAAGAAAAAGGGUACAUUGUGAGAUUUAAGGGAGUUACCAAAGACAUGAAUGUUCGGUAGAUGUUUUGUAUUAUGUCUAAUCCUAAUGAUUUUGACCAGAUAGCCUCCGUGUGAGGGUGUGUGUCUGUUCCCAAUAUGGAUCCAGAUGCUGAAGAAGAAGACGAACAAUAAGUCUACGUGUUUGUUGGUCUCCACGAUAACCAUAAGUGGCAGUUUGUCACGAAUUAUCCAAGAAAAAGGGUAAGACACACCAAUGGCAGGUAAUAAAAAGAAACUGGUCAGUAGGCUUUUUGCCGCGCGGUGCGCCGGUUAGACGCAGCGACCGCGACGCCACAUUUGAAAACACUCUUGGACGACUAGUUAUAUUACUCUUACUCAUAUAAGUACAUGCAGAUGCAACCAUCGAUCGACACGUGUUGUAUUUGAAUAUAUAUGAACCUGACUCAUAUGUAUUCCUAGGCAUGCAACACAUGUGUUGCUGUAACUCAGUAGGAUUUAUAAUAUGAUGAGGGCGUGUUUCUGUUCCCAGUGGAUAUGGAUCCAGAUGCUCAAGAAGACGACGAACAAUGAGCCUGUGUGUUUGUUGGUCUCCACGAUAACCAUGAGUGGUACCAAGAAGAAGAAGGGUAAGACAUAUUUUUUCAUAUCUAUGUUCACAUGCAGUAGGCUAGGCAGUAGAUAGUAAUCAUGGCUGGUCGGUAGGCUAAUCAUGACUGGCAGUUUGACAGAAUUUAGCAGUUCAAAGUACACUGAUUAGUAGGCUAGGCAGUAGAAAAUUAGCAAGUUGGCAUUGGUGAGUAAUAAAAAGAAACUCGUCAGUAGGCUUUUUGUCGCACGGUGCACCGGGUAGACGCAGCGACCGCGACGCCACAUUUGAAAACACUCUUGGACGACUAGUUAUAUUAUUACUCUUACUUAUAUAAGUAUAUGUAGAUGCAGCCAUCGAUCGACACAUGUUGUAUUUGAAUAUAGAUGACUGAUAUGUAUU